GGAAGAACUUAAAGGAACUGAACCGAUUCAAAAGUGUUAAUGUAAGUGGUGGAAGCUGAAAGAAGUCAAGCAGAAUCUGAGGCUACCCGUCACAUUCCUAAAGAUAGCAGGUAAAUGGACAAAUUCAAUAGCCAGCGCUCAAGGGCCAGAAUACUGAUUCCAUCUCUGACAACUAGCAAAUUACUUAACCGCUCCAUGAAACAAGGAUAACAUAUUUGUUCAUGCUGUUCCCGACCAACAUACGAAUCAUGAGUUUUAGUGGAAGUACGUCGGGAUGAGGAGAGCAGCCAAUGAGAGCAUCCCACAUCCUCUCAGCCAAUAAUGGUACUGUACCACGCUCAGG